rnacentral:rRNA from 1 species
UACGGGGGGGGCAAGCGUUGUUCGGAAUUACUGGGCGUAAAGGGCUCGUAGGUGGCCAACUCAGUCAGACGUGAAAUCCCUCGGCUUAACCGAGGAACUGCGUCUGAUACUGGAUGGCUUGAGGUUGGGAGAGGGAUGCGGAAUUCCAGGUGUAGCGGUGAAAUGCGUAGAUAUCUGGAGGAACACCGGUGGCGAAGGCGGCAUCCUGGACCAAUACUGACACUGAGGAGCGAAAGCCAGGGGAGCAAACGGG